ensembl:lincRNA 9430098F02Rik RIKEN cDNA 9430098F02 gene
AGGUGGUAUAUUUGUUUACAGUUUAUUGAGUACAGUAUAGGAAUGUAGCACGCUGGUCAGUAACUGGAGUACUGCCUGCAGCACAUUGUUCUAAGAAUUUCAUACCGGAGUACAACCCACUAGGAUAUGCCCCCCACCCCCUUUCCGACUGGCUGUCUUAAAUUCAUUUCUCUUUUCACUCUGAAUAUUCUAUUUAUUUUUGCUUUCCAUCUCUCAUCUUCACUUGUAGCUCUCUGGCCAUCUUCCUUCUGCUCCCACCAUUCCUGUUGUCUCUGGUGGUCUCAUGGUGGAUGCUUUUCACUUCCUCUGCUUGUUUUUGAGGUUAUCUUGGUGGUUUCCAUCUUCCUGUGACACCUUUUGGUAUGCUAGGAGCAGCUCUGCCACUUAGCCAUGUUCCCAGUCCUCGCCUUAUGGUACUUACCACCACCCAUAUGGACGUUAUCCCCACGUCCAUGGCUCAAUAGGUGGUCCUAACUGGUGUUUUGAGAGGCAGUGAGACAUGGCAGCUGGCAGUUGAAUCACAGGGUCAGGCCUUUGAUGCUUAUAUCUUCUUUGCUUCCUAUCUCUCUCUGCUCCUCCUUCCUCCCAAGCCAUUACUUGGUAAUUAACUCCUCCUGCUGCCAAAACAGCCCUCACCUCUGUUCCUUUCUCACUCUGGCAGACCAUAACCCUGAAACUGGGCCAAAAUGAACCUCUCCUCCCCUAAGAUGCUCCUGUCAGGCAUCUAUUGACAGUUACAUAAAACAUAUACACUACUACACCACAAUGACAAGCAUUUUUAAAGACUAAAAGACAUAAACAUCCCAACCCAAUGACUGGGAUCCAAGUGGGAAUGGCUAGAAAGUAGAAAGGGGCAUGGGGCUCAAGACCCACUGCUUGGCAUCCAUCCUAUAGCCACAACAGAAACUCCAGGACAGGGAGACCUACCGAAAAACACCAAUGCAUGCACCGUGGGGCAGUGGACUAUCAAAGGUAGCCUUAGCUCAAAGGGGACCACCAGGCUACCUUUCACGGCCCACUGCCCCACAGUACACAAUAUAUCAAGGUACACUCAUCAUUGAAGCAGCAAAGAGGGAUCUAGGUACAAGAUCCCUCAACGUAACCCAACACUUCAUGACAACUUCGAGGUACGUCCUAAAAAGGUUGCACCUUGAACAGUCUCCAACAUGUGACUGACCUAUAUACCCCAAAGGCGUGUAAAGCUCAACCAGAAGACAGAAAUAAGAAAGAAAGCAAAACGAACCCUUUAAAAGUUCUACUCUGUCAAGUAAGAUUGCUGGACGGUGGUGGCCCACACCUUUAAUCCCAGCACUUGGACAGAGGCAAGUUUUCUCUUUCUCAAGUUUUGUUUUCUCUCAUUAUGUAGCUUGGCUGAUUUGAACAGAGAUCAGCCAAGCUACAAAAGAUGAUCCUGUCUCAAAACAAAAGCAAUCCAUACAAUCAAGGUACAGAAUGGAAAUGAGAAAAAUGGUGAUGCAUCACAGUAUACCACACACACGUAUGAAAAUGUCACAAUGACACGGUAUCUUUACAGUUCUACCAUAUAGAGACUGGCAAGGGGCAUGGUCAAACACAUUUACAACCUUGCAGAGGUUAUUUUUAACAUAGACACAAUUGUGGAAAAAUUAACCCAAAAGAUUUAAGUCUAUAAAAUGUAAAAGCAGUCAAAGAAUUAUGAGAUUAUAGGGAAAAAAAAAAAGGUUUAGGUCAGGAGAAUAAAAUCCACUUCAAAAUUAAGCCUAUAAAUUAUUGGCUGUUACGCUGGGUGUGGUGGUGCACGCCUUCAAUCCCAGCACUCGGGAGGCAGAAGGAAGUUCAAGGCCAGCCUGGUCUAUAUUGUUUCAGGACAGCCAGAGCUACAUUGUGAGACUCCGUCUCAAAAAGAUAAAAGACUGCUUCACCAUGUAUCCUGGAUUGGCCUGGAACUCAGAGAUCCAUUUACCUGCCUCUGCCUCCCAAGUGCUGAUAUCAUAGAUGUGAGUCACCAUGCCCCACCCAGCAGUGUUCUUAACCCUAGACAUACUAUGCUCCUAAUAAUUCAAAGUAAAAUAUGUGGGCAUCAAGAUUGAAUACCACAGAAUUAACUGCGGCUCUUCCAGAGGUUGGAUUUGGUCUUUAAGCACUCACACCAGCAGCUCACAACUCUGAAGCUCCAGAGGACCUAGAGGCCUCUGUUAGCACCACACACAUAAACAAAACAGUAAGUCAAGAAAGGGAGACACUGUGCAUUUGUAAUGAAGAAAGGCAAACCGUCUCCCAAUGGUCACUGAACAUUUCAAGAGGCUCAGAUGUGCCAUUACACAGGCAGGUGGCAACCACACCACCACACUUUUGUUUCAUUUCAAAUAGCUACAAGGACCAUUAUGAUAAAUGCUUGAGGCAUACAUAGCCCGACUUGACACAAUGUACAAAUCUCAAAACAUCACCUGGAAACCUUAGAUAGUACAUUGUUUUUGUUUUACUAAAACCAUUAUACAUAUCUUCUUCAAGUACUCAAACCCAACAGUAAGCUUUAUAAAUUGUUUCAAAGCAACCUUUUAAUAAAAAAAUAAUAAUUUAUGUGCACAUGAAUACUGAUGUCCAAGGAGACCAGAGGUGGAUGUGGGUCCUCUUGAAGAGCAGUGUGUGUUCUUAACUCUGGCUCCACUCGCCAGCCCCUAAAUUAUCUUUUUUGAAACAUCUGUGUGUGUGCAUACAUCACCAUUUGUGCAUGGAGGCCAGAGGACAACUUGCAGGAGUUGGUUUUCUCCUUCCACCACGUAGAUCCCAUGGACUGAGCUUGAGUCUUCAGGGUGGCUGCUAAGUGACUAUGCCUUUACCAGCUGAGUCACCUUACCAUAUCCAAAGUACACUUCCCUGUUGAAUACUCACUCUUAGGCACCGAGAUCCACUAUCUGCCUCCACAAUGCUGGGUGACACAUGUGUCAUUAUAUACAACUUUUAGAGAUGGAACCCAGGGCACAGUACAUGUGCUAGGCAAGUGCUC